GGGCGUGUGGUUUAGUGGUAUAAUAUCUCAUUUGCAAAGGUGCUCAGCCCAUCGAAACUUGAGAUGGUCCGGCGUUCGAUUCGCCGUACGUCCA